rnacentral:rRNA from 1 species
GACGAACGCUGGCGGCGAGCUUAACACAUGCAAGUCGAACGGUGAACCUCUUCGGAGGGGAUCAGUGGCGAACGGGUGAGUAACACGUGGGCAACCUGCCCCCGGCUCUGGGAUAACUCCAAGAAAUUGGGGCUAAUACCGGAUGUUCACCGCUUCCCGCAUGGGUGGUGGUGGAAAGGGUUUCCGGCUGGGGAUGGGCCCGCGGCCUAUCAGCUUGUUGGUGGGGUAGUGGCCUACCAAGGCGACGACGGGUAGCCGGCCUGAGAGGGUGACCGGCCACACUGGGACUGAGACACGGCCCAGACUCCUACGGGAGGCAGCAGUGGGGAAUAUUGCGCAAUGGGCGGAAGCCUGACGCAGCGACGCCGCGUGGGGGAUGACGGCCUUCGGGUUGUAAACCUCUUUCAGCAGGGACGAAGCGCAAGUGACGGUACCUGCAGAAGAAGCACCGGCCAACUACGUG